rnacentral:rRNA from 1 species
GACGAACGCUGGCGGCGUGCUUAACACAUGCAAGUCGAACGGAAAGGCCCUGCUUGCAGGGUACUCGAGUGGCGAACGGGUGAGUAACACGUGGGUGAUCUGCCCUGCACUUCGGGAUAAGCCUGGGAAACUGGGUCUAAUACCGGAUAGGAGCCAUUUUUAGUGUGAUGGUUGGAAAGUUUUUUCGGUGUAGGAUGAGCUCGCGGCCUAUCAGCUUGUUUGUGGGGUAAUGGCCUACCAAGGCGGCGACGGGUAGCCGGCCUGAGAGGGUGGACGGCCACAUUGGGACUGAGAUACGGCCCAGACUCCUACGGGAGGCAGCAGUGGGGAAUAUUGCACAAUGGGCGCAAGCCUGAUGCAGCGACGCCGCGUGGGGGAUGACGGCCUUCGGGUUGUAAACUCCUUUCGCUAGGGACGAAGCUUUUUGUGACGGUACCUAGAUAAGAAGCACCGGCUAACUACGUG